CUGAACCAGCCAAGUAGCGUGAAGGAUGACUGCCCUAUGGGUUGUAAACUUCUUUUAUACGGGAAUAAAGUGAGCCACGUGUGGCUUUUUGUAUGUACCGUAUGAAUAAGGAUCGGCUAAUUCCGUGCCAGCAGCCGCGGUAAUACGGAAGGUCCAGGCGUUAUCCGGAUUUAUUGGGUUUAAAGGGAGCGCAGGCGGACUCUUAAGUCAGUUGUGAAAGUUUGCGG
rnacentral:rRNA from 1 species